GAAAUGCGAUAAGUAGUGUGAAUUGCAGAAUUCAGUGAAUCAUCGAAUCUUUGAACGCACAUUGCGCCCCUUGGUAUUCCAUGGGGCAUGCCUGUUCGAGCGUCAUUUGUACCCUCAAGCUCUGCUUGGUGUUGGGUGUUUGUCCCCGUCUCCGCGCGUGGACUCGCCCCAAAGUGAUUGGCAGCCGGCGUACUGGUCCCGGAGCGCAGCACAUGUCGCGCAAACGAGUGCCUUGGUACGGCGGCGUCCAUAAGCCCCUCUCUCACGCUCUUGACCUCGGAUCAGGUAGGGAUACCCGCUGAACUUAAGC
rnacentral:misc_RNA from 1 species